rnacentral:rRNA from 1 species
GCUAAACCAUGCACCGAAGCUGCGGCAGCGACGCUUAUGCGUUGUUGGGUAGGGGAGCGUUCUGUAAGCCUGCGAAGGUGUGCUGUGAGGCAUGCUGGAGGUAUCAGAAGUGCGAAUGCUGACAUAAGUAACGAUAAAGCGGGUGAAAAGCCCGCUCGCCGGAAGACCAAGGGUUCCUGUCCAACGUUAAUCGGGGCAGGGUGAGCCGACCCCUAAGGCGAGGCCGAAAGGCGUAGUCGAUGGGAAACAGGUUAAUAUUCCUGUACUUGGUGUUACUGCGAAGGGGGGACGGAGAAGGCUAUGUUGGCCGGGCGACGGUUGUCCCGGUUUAAGCGUGUAGGCUGGUUUUCCAGGCAAAUCCGGAAAAUCAAGGCUGAGGCGUGAUGACGAGGCACUACGGUGCUGAAGCAACAAAUGCCCUGCUUCCAGGAAAAGCCUCUAAGCAUCAGGUAACAUCAAAUCGUACCCCAAACCGACACAGGUGGUCAGGUAGAGAAUACCAAGGCGCUUGAGAGAACUCGGGUGAAGGAACUAGGCAAAAUGGUGCCGUAACUUCGGGAGAAGGCACGCUGAUAUGUAGGUGAAGUCCCUCGCGGAUGGAGCUGAAAUCAGUCGAAGAUACCAGCUGGCUGCAACUGUUUAUUAAAAACACAGCACUGUGCAAACACGAAAGUGGACGUAUACGGUGUGACGCCUGCCCGGUGCCGGAAGGUUAAUUGAUGGGGUUAGCCGCAAGGCGAAGCUCUUGAUCGAAGCCCCGGUAAACGGCGGCCGUAACUAUAACGGUCCUAAGGUAGCGAAAUUCCUUGUCGGGUAAGUUCCGACCUGCACGAAUGGCGUAAUGAUGGCCAGGCUGUCUCCACCCGAGACUCAGUGAAAUUGAACUCGCUGUGAAGAUGCAGUGUACCCGCGGCAAGACGGAAAGACCCCGUGAACCUUUACUAUAGCUUGACACUGAACAUUGAGCCUUGAUGUGUAGGAUAGGUGGGAGGCUUGGAAGUGUGGACGCCAGUCUGCAUGGAGCCGACCUUGAAAUACCACCCUUUAAUGUUUGAUGUUCUAACGUUGACCCGUAAUCCGGGUUGCGGACAGUGUCUGGUGGGUAGUUUGACUGGGGCGGUCUCCUCCUAAAGAGUAACGGAGGAGCACGAAGGUUGGCUAAUCCUGGUCGGACAUCAGGAGGUUAGUGCAAUGGCAUAAGCCAGCUUGACUGCGAGCGUGACGGCGCGAGCAGGUGCGAAAGCAGGUCAUAGUGAUCCGGUGGUUCUGAAUGGAAGGGCCAUCGCUCAACGGAUAAAAGGUACUCCGGGGAUAACAGGCUGAUACCGCCCAAGAGUUCAUAUCGACGGCGGUGUUUGGCACCUCGAUGUCGGCUCAUCACAUCCUGGGGCUGAAGUAGGUCCCAAGGGUAUGGCUGUUCGCCAUUUAAAGUGGUACGCGAGCUGGGUUUAGAACGUCGUGAGACAGUUCGGUCCCUAUCUGCCGUGGGCGCUGGAGAACUGAGGGGGGCUGCUCCUAGUACGAGAGGACCGGAGUGGACGCAUCACUGGUGUUCGGGUUGUCAUGCCAAUGGCACUGCCCGGUAGCUAAAUGCGGAAGAGAUAAGUGCUGAAAGCAUCUAAGCACGAAACUUGCCCCGAGAUGAGUUCUCCCUGACCCUUUAAGGGUCCUGAAGGAACGUUGAAGACGACGACGUUGAUAGGCCGGGUGUGUAAGCGCAGCGAUGCGUUGAGCUAACCGGUACUAAUGAACCGUGAGGCUUAACCUU